UUACAUGAUGAAACGGCACUGGGCUCCGAAUCACAAUUCGCAUGAGUAGAUACGCCAUUUUGUGGCAGGCCUAGAAAACCUCGCCCACUGAUU
rnacentral:snoRNA from 1 species